GGCACAACAUUCGCUAACUUCCAAUCUUCUGGGACUACUCCUAUUAACAAUGAUUGGUUAAAUAAAUCUGUUAAUGGUUUUGCUAGUACACCACUAAGCUUUUUUAAUAACUUUGGGUGUAUUCCAUCAGGUCACAUUGACUUAUUUGUCUUUACUUUUGACAGUUGAAAUAGAACCUCUUCUUCUGUAAACUCACAUGUAAUACAUUACUUAUUUCUCCUUUUUCCUAACUGAGGUCCCUUUCCUUCAUUUUCCUCUGUAAAUACUGAACAAAAAUAUUCAUUGAGGCAGUCAGCUAGACCUUUAUCCUCAUCUACAUACCUUCCUUCUUUUGUUUUUAAUCUAACUAAUCCUUGUUUUACUUUUCUUUUCUCACUUAUGUAUCUAAAAAAUGGUUUGUCCCCUUUUUUUUACUAACUGUGCUAUUUUCUCUUCUGUGUGUGAUUUGGAAGCUCUUAUAACUUGCUUAGCCUCUUUCUGCCUAAUCUUAUAGAGCAUUCUGUCCUCCUCACUCUGGGUUUUUUAUAAUUACUAAAUGCUAACUUUUUGUUUUUUUACUAUUUUGCCCACAUCUGCGGAGUACCCCAGUGGUUUCUUGAAUUUUUUGCUUUUGCUGACAAGCCUAAUGCAAUUUUCUGUUGCCUUCAGCAGUUCAACUUUUAAAUAAUCCCAUAUCUCUUGGACACCAUUUAAAUUGCUCCAAUCACAUGACUCCUUUACACAUAUUCUAAUUUUAGAAAAGUCUGUUUGUUUUUUUUAAAGUCUAAAACUUUUGUUUUUGUGUGGUGUGACUCAGUCACUGUUCUUAUUUUAAACCACACUGACUUAUGAUCGCUGGAUCCUAAACUUUCACCUACAGUAAUAUCUGAUACCAAAUCUCCAUUUGUUAACACUAAAUCUAGAAUGGCCUCUUUGCGAGUUGGCUCCUCAACAACUUGUUUUAGAGACAAUCCCAGUAGGGAGUUUAGAAUAUGUGUGCUCCUGGCACAAGCAGCUAAUUUUGUUUUCCAAUUCACAUCAGGAAGAUUAAAGUCACCCAUGAUGAUAACUCCCCCCUUCAUUGUUAUUUUAGCUAUUUCCUCAACUAGUAGAUUAUCUAACUCUUCUAUUUGUCCUGGGGGCCUAUAAAUCACACCUACACGAGUUACUGUGAUUACCAAAUUCUAACGUAACCCAAAGGGACUCUAUGUUCGCCUCACUAACUUUGAUUAGGCUAGAUUAUAUGCUAUCCUGUGUACACCAGCCAAUGUCAGGGUUAUGGAGAGUAAGGAUAGUCAGGUAAGCUACAGUCAUAAAAGACAGUAACGUAUUCUCGGGUAUGCAGAAACAGGGCAGGUAAAUAGGGACAGCCAGAAAGUGAUAUACACCCUAUCAUAGAUAUCAUAAAAAGGGCCAUAUAGCUUUAAACAUAAAAAGGGAAACAGACCAAGUGUUUCGCAUCAUGAAAGACAUCUGAACAAGGCAUCACGACAUGACGUGCGGGGGACAUUGGAAGCUGAAUGCAGAAGUGCCAAUUCUGGGAACGCACUGCGCCGUGGGGAGGCAUCAUAACAAAUCAUUCCCUUCAUCAUAGUACUUACUUUAAGCCCAUCCAUCAAAGUACCAUUUUCCUCCAACUUAACACACAUCAUUUUGCUUUCUAUCUCACUGAAUCUAUUAUUCAUCAUUUACCUUAGGACCAUCUGCCUAAUGCCCAACACUCAACAUGAGGUCCACUUCAUCCUAGUGCAGGGUUUGCAGCCUUUGGCACUACGAUGUUGUGGACUACAUCUCCCAGAAUUCUCUGAUGUUUAUAAUGCUGGCAAAGCUUUAGGGGAGAUGUAGUCCACAACAUCUGGAGUGUUGAAGCCUGCCUACACCUGUCCUAGUGUCUGCUAAUAUCUAUCACUUCAUAUUAGAGCCUCUUCCUUCCUAGCACCAUUUUCUUCCAUUUUGUAACCAAUUUCCAUCAAGUAUGCAGCUUUAUUUUAGAACCCUCUUUCCUCUAUGUUCUAAAGUUAUGCACUUUGGCGUAAAGAAUGCACAAGCAACAUAUACCCUUAAUGGAAGUGAAUUAGGGAUAACAAAACACGAAAAGGGCUUGGGAAUUGUUAUAGAAAACAAACUAUGCUACAAUGUGUAAGGUAUUGUCAUGCAUAAAAAAGGCUGAUAAUAUAAUUUUGCCUCUUUAUAAAUCCCUGGUAAGACCACAUAUUGAAUAUGCUGUGAAAUUUUGGGCACCUGUUCUAAAGGUUUAAUUUAAAUGGAUGUGGUUUUAAAGAUCUUCUCAAUGUGGUAUGUGUAGUAUUUCUUUACAUAAUAAGAAAAAAUAUUAUUACAUUACAUCUAGUUAUUUCUUUCAUUGUAAUUAUAACUAUCAAGUGUAGAAACAGGGAUUAUAUUUAUUAAUCAACAAAAAGUAGUAGCAUUUUCUCUCUCUUUUAUCUGAAAAUUCAUAUUGUAAGUAUUGCUUUGAACAGGCUAUGGGAAUAUGAAGGUUUUUGUACACACUAUAUUUUAGUUUUAAAAAAAUGUUCCUAUUUUCUGUAUUUAGUGUAUAUUAAGACUAUAAAUACAUUAUACAAAUUGUAUAAUUUGAGUUAAUUGAUCACAAUUACACAUGCCAUGGGUUUCUAGCUUAUUUACUUAAAUAAGAAUUACAUGACAAUUUAAAGUGAAUUUCAAAUUUUAUUUCAGAGUAGCAGGCAUAGUUGACUUAGAGAAUUUUUCUAGUUCAGCUAUUUUGACCUUAAAUUUGAAAUUCACUUUGAAUUCACAUUGAAUUCUUACGUUAGUUAAUAGCCAUGUCAGUACAGAAAAAAAGAUAUUAUUUAUCUGUAGAUAAUUGCUGAUUAUAAUUUUGUAUCAAAUUGCAACUUAAUGAAUUUGAAAGGCAAUUAAUUGAACAUUACAUUUAGACAUGAAUGGAAUAGUUGUCUCCUGACAUUUUGAUAAAAUGACGAGAACAGUGAAUUAUUUUAUCUCAUUCUGUUCCCGUAGUAAUAUAACAUUAUGAGAAUAAUUAAUUGGAUUAUAAUUUAGCUAUUCAUUUAUGAAUUCUCUUGUUACAUGUUAAAUCAUUUAUGAUCUGUUGACUAUGGACAACCAGUUUCUUUCUAUUUGCCACAAUGGCUGUAAGAAACUACAAUUAUAUUUCAAUAAUUUUGAAUAAAAAUGGAUAAUGAUUCUUGAAAAUGCUUACAUUAAAAUGUUUAAAACUUGGUGUCUCAUUUAUUUUAGUUUUAGAAGAAUGCUGUCCACUAUACAAAUGAGCUGUGAAUAUAAUAAAAGUCAAGGUGAUUUAACAGGAAGAAUAAUUUACAAUAUCUGUUAUGCUCAAGUAUAUCCAAGGUUAUAAUUCAUUGUCAUCAAGUAUAUCCUCGCUCAGGGUUCUCCAAACUCUGGCCCUCCAGAUGUUGAUGAUCUACAACUGCCAGGCAAAAGUUAGAAGCUAUGAAGCUGUUUGAGGACUACUCGGAGUAUGUCCUGAGAGCUAAUAGAGAAUUUGGAGCAAUUGACAUGCUUCAUGGCAGGAGUGGCAACAGUUACUAGAAGGCUAAAGUUGUCAUUGCAGGAGCAUUACUGAAGAUGAGAUCAGAAAAGAGAAAGUUAGACACUUAGAGAGGAUUAAAGAGCUAGAGUUAGACAGAGAAAGAGCGGGAGCAUUAUACUGAGCCAUAUUACUGGACAUAUCUCUGUAUUUUAGCUCUGUUGGAUUUCAAUUAACAUCUUUGUUAAUUAGAACGUUGUUAAAUCACAGAGACACUGACUGUGUGGGAUAGUUAUGGUAUCUCUGUAUUGUACCCAGCUUUUGAAUUUUAUGUUUGUGUUGUGUUGUGUCACUGCAUGGGUACUUUUGUACUAUGCUUAGUUCUGUGUAUUGUAUUGGUAUCUUCUUUCUGUACUGGAUUCUUUGUAUUUUACUGCAUUGUACCUGGCUCUGGGUAUUCUAUGGGUAUUUGUGUAUUGUAAUCAGUUCUGUGUAUUGUAUUGGUAUCUCUGUAUUAUAAUUAGCUUUGAAUAUUGCAUAGAUAUCACUAUUUUACUUUAUUUAGCUCUGUGUAUUUUAAGGGUAACUCUGCAUUGUAUGCAGUUCUGUGUAUUGUAUUGGUAUCUCUGUAUUGUAAUUAGCUUUAAAUAUUGCAUUCAUAUCACUAUGUUACUUAAUUUAGCUCUGUGUAUUGUAAGGGUAUCUCUGCAUUGUAUGCAGUUCUGUGUAAUGUAUAGGGUUUACUAUUAGGGGUUGAGUACAUGAGAAAAAGAAGGCAGAUGCCACAGGUCAGAAAAUGGUGGAGAAUAGAGUUAAGGGGCGGAAUUAAACUCCUUUUGGAGGAGUCUGGUCACCCUACUGUCAUAAAACUUCACCACCAGCCAUCACUGAUCACAUUCCGUUCCAAAUAUUCCUUAAUUACAUAUAACAUUUUAUUGAAUACCAUUUCUGAGACUGUGACAUUGAUGCUAGAAUUCAUCCAUUCAUCCAUAUGUGUCAGGAAUCAGUGGAUUUGCCCUGAUACAUACUCCUGGUGUGGCAGAGUGACUGGGCCUUUAUUUUCAUGCUAUCGGGAUGUAUCAGGGCAACUCUACUGAUCCCUGACACCCUGUGGUUGCUCAACCAGUUAUCUGUUGUUCUGACACACAGCAGUUAAAAUCAGCCACUUUCAUUUCAGAAGAUGAUGGUGUAUAAUAGGAAAUAUGAAUUUAUAUGAACACUACUUGGAUUUAUAUAAAUUAAGUAUUUAGAUAAACAAUAGUUAAAUUCACUUAUGGUUCAUUGUUAAAUUAUUUUCUAGACCCAUGCGGCAAAUCAGAGGUAUGGCAGUGGAUGGAAAAAGAAUAGGAUAAGCAAAUAAAAAAAUAAUAUUAUUUACUGCACAUUUGAAUGAACUAAUCAGAAUAGUUUGAUUCACUAUAUGAUCAUUAAUUGCAGUGUAUUAGAACCAAACAUAAUGUAUUUGUUCAAGGGGAAAUAAAUCAGUAAUGCAAGGCACAGAUUGAAGCUCAUAUACAAACUACAAACUGAAGUUCUGUUUCUGCAAAGGUUAUCAUCACAGUAUUUUAUUUUUCUUAAAGGGACACUAUAGUCACCAGAACAACUACAG
rnacentral:lncRNA from 1 species